rnacentral:rRNA from 1 species
AUGAACGCUGGCGGCGUGCCUAAUACAUGCAAGUCGAACGCUUCACAUAUGUGAAGAGUGGCGAACGGGUGAGUAAUACAUAAGUAACCUGGCCUUUACAGGGGGGAUAACUAUUGGAAACGAUAGCUAAGACCGCAUAGGUGUCAUAACCGCAUGGAGAUGAUAUGAAAUAUGCUACGGCAUAGGUAGAGGAUGGACUUAUGGCGCAUUAGCUAGUUGGAGGGGUAACGGCCCACCAAGGCGACGAUGCGUAGCCGACCUGAGAGGGUGACCGGCCACACUGGGACUGAGACACGGCCCAGACUCCUACGGGAGGCAGCAGUAGGGAAUUUUCGGCAAUGGGGGAAACCCUGACCGAGCAACGCCGCGUGAAGGAAGAAGUAAUUCGUUAUGUAAACUUCUGUCAUAGAGGAAGAACGGUGCGUGUAGGGAAUGACAUGCAAGUGACGGUACUCUAUAAGAAAGCCACGGCUAACUACGUGCCAGCAGCCGCGGUAAUACGUAGGUGGCGAGCGUUAUCCGGAAUUAUUGGGCGUAAAGAGGGAGCAGGCGGCACUAAGGGUCUGUGGUGAAAGAUCGAAGCUUAACUUCGGUAAGCCAUGGAAACCGUAGAGCUAGAGUGUGUGAGAGGAUCGUGGAAUUCCAUGUGUAGCGGUGAAAUGCGUAGAUAUAUGGAGGAACACCAGUGGCGAAGGCGACGAUCUGGCGCAUAACUGACGCUCAGUCCCGAAAGCGUGGGGAGCAAAUAGGAUUAGAUACCCUAGUAGUCCACGCCGUAAACGAUGAGUACUAAGUGUUGGGAGUCAAAUCUCAGUGCUGCAGUUAACGCAAUAAGUACUCCGCCUGAGUAGUACGUUCGCAAGAAUGAAACUCAAAGGAAUUGACGGGGGCCCGCACAAGCGGUGGAGCAUGUGGUUUAAUUCGAAGCAACGCGAAGAACCUUACCAGGUCUUGACAUCGAUCUAAAGGCUCCAGAGAUGGAGAGAUAGUUAUAGAGAAGACAGGUGGUGCAUGGUUGUCGUCAGCUCGUGUCGUGAGAUGUUGGGUUAAGUCCCGCAACGAGCGCAACCCUUAUUGUUAGUUGCUACGCAAGAGCACUCUAGCGAGACUGCCGUUGACAAAACGGAGGAAGGUGGGGACGACGUCAAAUCAUCAUGCCCCUUAUGACCUGGGCUACACACGUGCUACAAUGGACAGAGCAGAGGGAAGCGAAGCCGCGAGGUGGAGCGAAACCCAGAAAACUGUUCUCAGUUCGGACUGCAGUCUGCAACUCGACUGCACGAAGUUGGAAUCGCUAGUAAUCGCGAAUCAGCAUGUCGCGGUGAAUACGUUCUCGGGCCUUGUACACACCGCCCGUCACACCAUGAGAGUCGGUAACACCCGAAGCCGGUGGCCUAACCGCAAGGAAGGAGCUGUCUAAGGUGGGACUGAUGAUUGGGGUG